GACGAACGCUGGCGGCGUGCUUAACACAUGCAAGUCGAACGGUGAAGCGCCUUCCUUUUUGGUGGGUGUGGAUGAGUGGCGAACGGGUGAGUAACACGUGAGUAACCUGCCCCCUUCUUCUGGAUAACCGCAUGAAAGUGUGGCUAAUACGGGAUAUUCUGGGUCUGUCGCAUGAUGGGUCUGGGAAAGAUAUUGUUUCGGUGGGGGAUAGGCUCGCGGCCUAUCAGCUUGUUGGUGGGGUGAUGGCCUACCAAGGCGGUGACGGGUAGCCGGCCUGAGAGGGUGGACGGUCACACUGGGACUGAGACACGGCCCAGACUACUACGGGAGGCAGCAGUGGGGAAUAUUGCACAAGGGGCGCAAGCCUGAUGCAGCGACGCCGCGUGAGGGAUGGAGGCCUUCGGGUUGUGAACCUCUUUCGCCAGUGAAGCAGGCCUGCCUCGUUUGUGGGUGGGUUGACGGUAGCUGGAUAAGAAGCGCCGGCUAACUACGUG
rnacentral:rRNA from 1 species